AACGCGAAGAACCUUACCUGGGCUCGAAAUGCUAUGGACCAGUCUGUGAAAGCAGGCCUUCCCGCAAGGGACCGUAGUAUAGGUGCUGCAUGGCUGUCGUCAGCUCGUGUCGUGAGAUGUUGGGUUAAGUCCCGCAACGAGCGCAACCCUUGUCCUGUGUUGCCAUACCGAAAGGUGGAACUCGCAGGAGACCGCCAGGGAUAACCUGGAGGAAGGUGGGGAUGACGUCAAGUCCUCAUGGCCUUUAUGUCCAGGGCUACACACGUGCUACAAUGGACGGUACAAAGGGCUGCCAACCCGCGAGGGGGAGCCAAUCCCAAAAAACCGUUCUCAGUUCGGAUUGCAGGCUGCAACUCGCCUGCAUGAAGCUGGAAUCGCUAGUAAUGGCGGAUCAGAACGCCGCCGUGAAUACGUUCCCGGGCCUUGUA
rnacentral:rRNA from 1 species